rnacentral:rRNA from 1 species
GACGAACGCUGGCGGCGUGCCUAAUACAUGCAAGUAGACCUAGUUGCGAACGGGUGAGUAAUACGUGAGUAACCUGCCCUCUUUUGGGGAUAAGCCUUGGAAACGGGGUCUAAUACCGGAUAAAGGGGGAUGGGCUCGUGGCCUAUCAGCUUGUUGGUGGGGUGAUGGCCUACCAAGGCGGUGACGGGUAGCCGGCCUGAGAGGGUGCACGGCCACAUUGGGACUGGGAUGCGGCCCAGGCUCCGACGGGGGGCGGCAUUGGGGAAUAUUGCACCAUGGGUGAAAGCCUGAUGCAGCGUCGACGAGUGGGGGAUUAGGGCUUUCGGGUUGUAAACCUCGUUCGCUAUCGAACGGGUAGGUGCAGAAGAAGCGCCGGCUAACUACGUGCCAGCCGCCGCGGUAAUAC